rnacentral:rRNA from 1 species
GAUUAACGCUAGCGGGAUGCCUAAUACAUGCAAGUCGAACGAAGUAUUUAUACUUAGUGGCGAACGGGUGAGUAACACGUAUCCAACAUACCCAUAAGAGGGGGAUAACCAGUUGAAAAACUAGCUAAUACCCCAUAGCAUAUUUUUACAUAAGUAUUAAUAUUUAAAGUUGCGUUUGCAACACUUUUGGAUUGGGGUGCGACGUAUUAGAUAGUUGGUGAGGUAAUGGCUCACCAAGUCGAUGAUGCGUAGCUGUGCUGAGAGGCAGAACAGCC